ensembl:snoRNA
UGGAUCGAUGAUGACUACUGGUGGCGUAUGAGUCAUUUACAAUGAAUACGUAUCUGGAACUCUGAGGUCCAA